UAUAACUAUUUCAACUUAAUGACAUUUUUUUGAAAGUGAAGACCAAGCAUUAAGUAUUAAAUGAACAUGCACCAUGGUUCUAUGGACUCUUCUUUGCCAGGUUACUUCAUGCUUGUUGUUUUCUUGUAUAAGACAAUCUUUCAAUAC
rnacentral:lncRNA from 1 species